AGGUAAGCGACCAGUUCCUUUAGCUGAUUUCGAAUCAUUAUAUGACGUAAGGCAUCAGUCAUCUCGAGCUGGUGAAGCUGCAGAUUUAAAUUUUAAGUGCUUGUCCGAGAUCGAGUGAAAUCUGACAACACCGCGUUGGUUUUUAUAUAUCGUAAACUUAGUUGAUCGUGGGAAACGUAUUACAAAAGAUUUGAGAAGA